AUACAUACAUUUUUUUUUUAUUGCUUUUGUGUUUUAAAGAUUUCCCAGUUGUGGCAGAUGAAGACAGACACAGACCAGGGACCCCCGACAGACGGCUGUCACAUGGGAAGGAGGAUCGAGGAACGAGUAUAGGACAAACAUCAAAAAUAAGAUGGACAUAGAGACGACAUAUUGUCCAUUGAAUUCACAGGUCAGCUUUGUGCUGGCAGCCUUCUCCGCCAACAGGCCUGUAAUCUGACAUG